UACGGGGGGGGCAAGCGUUGUUCGGAAUUACUGGGCGUAAAGGGCUCGUAGGCGGCCAACUAAGUCCGACGUGAAAUCCCCAGGCUUAACCUGGGAACUGCGUCGGAUACUGGAUGGCUUGAAUCCGGGAGAGGGAUGCGGAAUUCCAGGUGUAGCGGUGAAAUGCGUAGAUAUCUGUAGGAACACCGGUGGCGAAGGCGGCAUCCUGGACCGGCAUUGACGCUGAGGAGCGAAAGCCAGGGGAGCAAACGGG
rnacentral:rRNA from 1 species